GCAUCCGUAGCUCAAUUGGAUAGAGCAUCUGACUACGGAUCAGAAGGUUUAGGGUUCGACUCCCUACGGAUGCGCCA
rnacentral:tRNA from 1 species